rnacentral:rRNA from 1 species
UACGUAGGGGGCAAGCGUUGUCCGGAUUUAUUGGGCGUAAAGAGCGUGUAGGCGGCCUUACAGGUCAGCUGUGAAAACUCGAGGCUCAACCUCGAGACGUCGGUUGAAAACCGUAUGGCUAGAGUCCGGAAGAGGAGAGUGGAAUUCCCGGUGUAGCGGUGAAAUGCGCAGAUAUCGGGAAGAACACCGGUGGCGAAGGCGGCUCUCUGGGCCUGUCCUGACGCUCAGGCGCGAAAGCUAGGGGGAGCGAACAGG